rnacentral:rRNA from 1 species
GUUUGAUCCUGGCUCAGAUUGAACGCUGGCGGCAUGCUUUACACAUGCAAGUCGAACGGCAGCACGGGUGCUUGCACCUGGUGGCGAGUGGCGGACGGGUGAGUAAUACAUCGGAACGUAUCCUAAAGUGGGGGAUAACGCAUCGAAAGAUGUGCUAAUACCGCAUACACUCUGAGGAGGAAAGUAGGGGAUCGAAAGACCUUAUGCUUUUGGAGCGGCCGAUGUCUGAUUAGCUAGUUGGUAAGGUAAUGGCUUACCAAGGCAACGAUCAGUAGUUGGUCUGAGAGGACGACCAGCCACACUGGGACUGAGACACGGCCCAGACUCCUACGGGAGGCAGCAGUGGGGAAUUUUGGACAAUGGGCGCAAGCCUGAUCCAGCAAUGCCGCGUGAGUGAAGAAGGCCUCGGUUGU